rnacentral:rRNA from 1 species
CAGCAGCCGCGGGAAAACGUAGGGUGCAAGCGUUAAUCGGAAUUACUGGGCGUAAAGCGUGCGCAGGCGGUUAUAUAAGACAGAUGUGAAAUCCCCGGGCUCAACCUGGGAACUGCAUUUGUGACUGUAUAGCUAGAGUACGGCAGAGGGGGAUGGAAUUCCGCGUGUAGCAGUGAAAUGCGUAGAUAUGCGGAGGAACACCGAUGGCGAAGGCAAUCCCCUGGGCCUGUACUGACGCUCAUGCACGAAAGCGUGGGGAGCAAACAGGAUUAGAUACCCAGGUAGUCCCUGUCUCUUAUAC